UAACUCUGGUUGAUCCUGCCAGAGGGCACCGCUAUUGGUAUUCGCUUAAGCCAUGCGAGUCGAGAGGUGAAAGACCUCGGCAUACCGCUCAGUAACACGCGGAUAAUCUGCCCUAAGGCGGAGGAUAAUCUCGGGAAACUGAGAAUAAUACUCCAUAGAUCUGGGAUGCUGGAAUGCCCCCAGGUCGAAAUCCACGGAGCCUUAGGAUGAGUCUGCGGCCCAUUAGGUUGUAGUGGGGGUAACGGCCCCACUAGCCCGCGAUGGGUACGGGUGUUGGGAGACAUUGCCCGGAGAUGGAUUCUGAGACAUGAAUCCAGGUCCUACGGGAUGCAG
rnacentral:rRNA from 1 species